UACGUAGGGGGCGAGCGUUGUCCGGAGUUACUGGGCGUAAAGGGCGCGCAGGCGGUCUGGUAAGUUUGGAGUGACAGUGCUCGGCUUAACUGAGCAAGGCCUUCGAAAACUGUCAGACUUGAGCACUCAAGAGGGACAUAGAAUUCCGGGUGGAGUGGUGAAAUGCGUAGAUAUCAGGAGGAACACCGGUGGCGAAGGCGGGUCACUGGGCC
rnacentral:rRNA from 1 species